rnacentral:misc_RNA from 1 species
AACGCAGUUUAUUGAUUUGUAGAUUGAAAUUGUGUUUUCAAACGUUGCAAGUUGUUUUUGGAUUGAAACCAAUCAGAAAUGCAAGUUGUGGCAAGUGCCGCAAGUGGACCCCUAGACCCCCAGCUUGGGGCAGAAGUAAUCCCCUGUAGUUAAACACUUCUAGUUACGCACCACCAGCGAAAUUAUAGACAUUAGACUGCCACAUUAUGGCCAGGAUUGUGCAGAACUGCAGUUGGUUGCGCUCUAGAACGGCACUAAGUGCUGCCAUUUUGCAGGCAACAGCUCUGGGAUCCAAUUAAAAGGGGUUCAAAGGAAGGCAUUGUGGGUCACUAAGCGCAUUCCAUCACUUAAUCUGGCUUUUAGAAUUCCAUACCUGAAACGUCCGCAAAUGCCCCGUAUUACUUGAGUUUACAUUCAAUCAAUUCCCAGCACAAGGAAUGCAAAUAAGCAAACACAUUUCAAUAAAGUGGCCGCUCAAUAAGGAAUACAAAAGCUGAAUAUUUUUUUCAAUUAUGUCCUGUGCCCGCAAUGAAAAAUGUCAGCGGAAGUGGCCGAACUUUCCGAAUGACACAAUCCAUUAACGCAGACACUACACUGCACAAAAAGGUUGCAAUAACUAGAUUUACUGCUACGAAAAUGGGGUAAGUAACGGAUUGAGUAAUAAAAAAUAAAAUAACUAAUAAAGUAAAUGGCA